rnacentral:rRNA from 1 species
CCUACGGGAGGCAGCAGUGGGGAAUAUUGCACAAUGGGGGAAACCCUGAUGCAGCGACGCCGCGUGAGUGAAGAAGUAAUUCGUUACGUAAAGCUCUAUCAGCAGGGAAGAAAAUGACGGUACCUGAGUAAGAAGCCCCGGCUAACUACGUGCCAGCAGCCGCGGUAAUACGUAGGGGGCAAGCGUUAUCCGGAUUUACUGGGUGUAAAGGGAGCGUAGACGGUGCGCCAAGUCUGGGGUGAAAUGCCGCAGCUUAACUGCGGAACUGCUUUGGAUACUGGGAAGCUGGAGUGCAGGAGGGGUAAGCAGAAUUCCUGGUGUAGCGGUGAAAUGCGUAGAGAUCAGGAGGAACACCGACGGCGAAGGCGGCUUACUGGACUGUAACUGACGUUGAGGCUCGAAGGCGUGGGGAGCAAACAGGAUUAGAUACCCUAGUAGUC